CAGCAGCCGCGGGAAUACGUAGGUGGCAAGCGUUGUCCGGAAUUAUUGGGCGUAAAGGGCUCGCAGGCGGUUUCUUAAGUCUGAUGUGAAAGCCCCCGGCCCAACCGGGGAGGGUCAUUGGAAACUGGGAAACUUGAGUGCAGAAGAGGAGAGUGGAAUUCCACGUGUAGCGGUGAAAUGCGUAGAGAUGUGGAGGAACACCAGUGGCGAAGGCGACUCUCUGGUCUGUAACUGACGCUGAGGAGCGAAAGCGUGGGGAGCGAACAGGAUUAGAUACCCGCGUAGUCCCUGUCUCUUAUAC
rnacentral:rRNA from 1 species